rnacentral:lncRNA from 1 species
CUGAAGAGUUAGGUAUUGUAGUCUUCACAGUCUGAGUUUGUUUGUACCUGUCCUUCUUGGAAAGGCUCUCCAGGUAUUUGAAGGUACUUGGGUGUUGUGAUCUACGUUUUUGGUCACUGCAGUCAUAUCUGCAUUAAGGGGCACCCCAAGCCCAGUAAUGCUGUGGGUCUUUUAGACUCAUAGGAGUACUGCCUUAGUGGUCUUGGAUAAGAUCCAGAGGAAUUCUCUGGAUGCCCAGGCAAAGACUCUCAUUCUCUUCCCUUACUUUGUCUCAAAUAGAUGGGGUCUCUCUUUCUGUGCUGAGCUGCCUGGAGCUAGGGGAAUGGUGACACAAGCACCCCUGUGGCCACCACUGCUGGAACUGCAUUGGUUUGGACCUGAAACCAGCAUAGCACUGGGUCUCACACAAGGCCCACUGUAACCACUACCUCACUCCUGCCUAUGUUUGCUCAAGGCCCUAGGGCUCUACAGUCAGCUUCAGAUCAGAUUUAUUUGGAGAAGACAAAAAACCCACAACCCAAAGGAUGGGAUUUUACAUCUCAAGACAUCUCCUAGGACACCAUUGAAGGCACUGGUUAUUUUACCAAGGCUUUGACUGGAAUGGCAUGGUUUCAGUUAUAAACAGACUGCUUUAAGGAAUCAAAGUUGACUUACAGAGCUGAUAAAAGGCCCCUAAGAAAAACUGGCCUCACCUCUUGUCUAUAUAGUCCCUAUAUAGGUUUCCUGACCUGUGUUUUUUGACUUGGACUCAAUAAAAUUGCUGCUACCUUUUUACUGAGGCCUUACAAGCUAAAGCUUAUUCCUUGAGACACAGAAGUUCCAGGGAUUGAAUCUUGAGACAAUCUGGGUGCCUAUGGAAUUAUCUCCCACCAGAAGAUUACUUCAAGGCAGCAGCUAAUUUACAACCUGGUCAAGCCUGAGAUGGUGUCAACCCAUUCUCAAGAUGGGACAAUAACUCAAGAUAAGUCAUCAAAACAAGCCACGUAGACCAGCACCACCUCUCACGCCCCCACCCACCACCCCCCACCCACCACAUAUCCUCCAUACCAAACUUCCCCUUCUUAAACCCUAGCAUUUUGCCCAAGAAUUUUGAAGCAGUUUCAUUAAGGCAGGAGCCUGAACCACUUCCCCACUGUUAGCUUUGGAAAAUGAAGUCAAUUUCCUU